GGGGGCGAUGUGGUUUCGACGGGGGAAGUGAAGGCAAGGGGAGCGAGCCGGGGUUGUCGCCAGCCCGUAAAACGGUGGCAAAGGCUAUAAACGCCAAGAACGAAACCUACGCUCUGGCUGCUUAAGACAGCCAGCAUCCCACCCGCUUAAGCCCGCGGAGCGGGAUCGGGGUGUCACACAAGCGGACUCACCCGGCGCCAAUUCUCGGAGGCGUUCGGGGAAAUUCAUCGAGAUAGCUCCCGCGGAGCCUGGCUGUAGGCGCCAAACGGAGCAAAGUUUAAACUACAGCCUACGCUCGUAGCCGCCCCUUGUGGUCAUUCUUUCGGACGGUGGGUUCAACUCCCCCCGCCUCCACCA
rfam:Candidatus Desulforudis audaxviator MP104C, complete genome.